UACGUAGUGUUCAAGAGUUAAUCGGAAUUACUGGGCGUAAAGCGCGCGUAGGUGGUUCGUUAAGUUGGAUGUGAAAGCCCCGGGCUCAACCUGGGAACUGCAUCCAAAACUGGCGAGCUAGAGGAUGGCAGAGGGUGGUGGAAGUUCCUGUGUAGCGGUGAAAUGCGUAGAUAUAGGAAGGAACACCAGUGGCGAAGGCGACCACCUGGGCUAAUACUGACACGGAGGUGCGAAAGCGUGGGGAGCCAACAGGAGUAGAUACCCCCGUAGUCC
rnacentral:rRNA from 1 species